AUAGAUGCGUCUAUUAAUCCA
rnacentral:siRNA from 1 species